rnacentral:rRNA from 1 species
UACGUAGGGGGCAAGCGUUGUCCGGAUUUAUUGGGCGUAAAGAGCGUGUAGGCGGCUAGAUAGGUCCGUUGUGAAAACUCGAGGCUCAACCUCGAGACGCCGGUGGAAACCAUCUAGCUAGAGUCCGGAAGAGGAGAGUGGAAUUCCUGGUGUAGCGGUGAAAUGCGCAGAUAUCAGGAAGAACACCCGUGGCGAAGGCGGCUCUCUGGUACGUGACUGACGCUGAGACGCGAAAGCGUGGGGAGCAAACAGG